GACGAACGAUGGCGGCGUGCUUAACACAUGCAAGUCGAACGAAGUGGCGAACGGGUGAGUAAUACGUGAGUAAACUGCCCUCCUUUUUGGGAUAAGCCUUGGAAACGGGGUCUAAUACCUAAUAAAGGGGGAUGGGCUCGCGGCCUAUCAGCUUGUUGGGGGGCGGAUGGCCUACCAAGGGGGUGGCGGGUAGACGGCCUGUGAGGGUGACCGGCCACAUUGGGACUGGGUUACAGCCUAGACUGCUACGGGAGGCAGGAGUGGUGGAUAUUGCACAAGGGGCGAAAGCCUGAUGCAGCGACGACGCGUGGGGGAUGAAGGCUUUCGGGUUGUAAACCUCUUUCGCUAACGAAUGGGUAGGUGGAGAAUAAGCGCCGGCUAACUACGUGCCAGCAGCCGCGGUAAUUC
rnacentral:rRNA from 1 species